AGUGAACGCUGGCGGUAGGCCUAACACAUGCAAGUCGAACGGCAGCACAGUAAGAGCUUGCUCUUACGGGUGGCGAGUGGCGGACGGGUGAGGAAUACAUCGAAAUCUACUUUUUCGUGGGGGAUAACGUAGGGAAACUUACGCUAAUACCGCAUACGACCUACGGGUGAAAGCAGGGGAUCUUCGGACCUUGCGCGAUUGAAUGAGCCGAUGUCGGAUUAGCUAGUUGGCGGGGUAAAGGCCCACCAAGGCGACGAUCCGUAGCUGGUCUGAGAGGAUGAUCAGCCACACUGGAACUGAGACACGGUCCAGACUCCUACGGGAGGCAGCAGUGGGGAAUAUUGGACAAUGGGCGCAAGCCUGAUCCAGCCAUACCGCGUGGGUGAAGAAGGCCUUCGGGUUGUAAAGCCCUUUUGUUGGGAAAGAAAAGCAGCAGGUUAAUACCCCGCUGUUCUGACGGUACCCAAAGAAUAAGCACCGGCUAACUUCAUG
rnacentral:rRNA from 1 species